GGAGGAGGGAGUUGGGAGGAAAGCGGCGGCGGUGGCGGCUUCAACAGCAGCUCUUGCCCUUAAGGAACAAUCCACAGCAUGUUCCGAAGAGAUGAUUGGAAGAUGGAAGUGGAGGGUUAAAUAAUGAAAUGCAGCUAACAUUUCGGAAAGUUUCUAAAAGUUGUACAACAUGCCCUACAGCUACUCUUUAAAUCUCCAAAUCAAAUGAGUUUCAGGUGGAGCCUCUGGGAGGUGAUGAGGUCAUGAGAGUGGAGCCUCAUGAAUGGGAUGAGCACUCCUACAAAAAGGAUUCCAGAGAGCUCGCUUGCUCCUUCCACAGUGUGAGGACACAGAGGGAAGGCUCUGUCUAUGAAUGAGAAAGUGGGUCCCCACCAGACAUUGAAUCUGCCGCAUCUUGAUACUGGACUUCCAGUCUCCAGAACUGUGGGCAAUAAAUGUCUGUUGUUUAUUACCUGUCCAGUAUCUUUGGUAUUUUGCUAUAGCAACCCAAAUGGACUAAGAAAACACCAGAGGCCAUACCUAAUAAAAAUAUUGACAUCAC
rnacentral:lncRNA from 1 species